UGCCGAAUCGUCUAAUGGUAGGACGCGAGACUCUGGAUCUCGCUAUAUAGGUUCGAAUCCUGUUUCGGCAACCA
rnacentral:tRNA from 1 species